GACGAACGCUGGCGGCGCGCCUAACACAUGCAAGUCGAACGAGCGAGAGGGAGCUUGCUUUCUCGAGCGAGUGGCGAACGGGUGAGUAACGCGUGAGGAACCUGCCUCAAAGAGGGGGACAACAGUUGGAAACGACUGCUAAUACCGCAUAAGCCCACGGUGCCGCAUGGCACAGAGGGAAAAUGAGCAAUCCGCUUUGAGAUUGCCUCGCGUCCGAUUAGCUAGUUGGUGAGGUAAUGGCCCACCAAGGCGACGAUCGGUAGCCGGACUGAGAGGUUGAACGGGCACAUUGGGACGGAGCCACGGCCCAGAUUCCUACGGGAGGCAGCAGUGGGGAAUAUUGCACAAUGGGGGAAACCCUGAUGCAGCGACGCCGCGUGGAGGAAGAAGGUCUUCGGAUUGUAAACUCCUGUUGUUGGAGAAGAUAAUGACGGUACCCAACAAGGAAGUGACGGCUAACUACGUG
rnacentral:rRNA from 1 species